rnacentral:misc_RNA from 1 species
UCUCCGUUGGUGAACCAGCGGAGGGAUCAUUACCGAGUUUACAACUCCCAAACCCCUGUGAACAUACCUUACUGUUGCCUCGGCGGAUCAGCCCGCGCCCGGUAAAACGGGACGGCCCGCCAGAGGACCCCUAAACUCUGUUUUUAUUGUAACUUCUGAGUAAAACCAUAAAUAAAUCAAAACUUUCAACAACGGAUCUCUUGGUUCUG